UACGGAGGGUGCAAACGUUGCUCGGAAUCAUUGGGCGUAAAGCGCACGUAGGCGGUCCAGCAAGUCGGGUGUGAAAGCCCUCGGCUUAACCGGGGAAGUGCAUUCGAAACUACUGGACUUGAGUACUGAAGAGGAUCGCGGAAUUCCCGGUGUAGAGGUGAAAUGCGUAGAUAUCAUUUGGAACGCCAAUGGUGAAAACAGCUCGCUGGGGGUGCACUGACACUGAGACACGAAAGCCAGGGGAGCGAACGGG
rnacentral:rRNA from 1 species